rnacentral:rRNA from 1 species
GCAUAUCAAUAAGCGGAGGAAAAGAAAAUAACAAUGAUUCCCCUAGUAACGGCGAGUGAAGAGGGAUAAGCUCAAAUUUUAAAUCUGAUGGGUUCUACUUAUCAGAAUUGUAAUUUGAAGAAACGUUUUCUGUGUCUUGAAUUAGCCUAAAUCUUUUGGAACAAGGUAUCAUGGAGGGUGACAAUCCCGUUCAUGGUUAAUUUUCAGGCGCGUUACGAUACGUUUUCAAAGAGUCGAGUUGUUUGGGAUUGCAGCUCAAAAUGGGAGGUAAAUUUCUCCUAAAGCUAAAUAUUGGCGAGAGACCGAUAGCGAACAAGUACCGUGAGGGAAAGAUGAAAAGAACUUUGAAAAGAGAGUUAAACAGUACGUGAAAUUGUUGAAAGGGAAACGAUUGAAGUCAGUCGUACCAACGGGAAAUCAAUUCAUCGAGUGUUGAAUUUUGGGUCUUGAAGAGUGUUAAAACCUUUGGGGUUCAGAUAUUUUCAUUUUUUGAACGUAUUUUCUCGUACGGUAGGUUAACAUCGAUUUUGAACAUUAUAAAAUGAUCGGAGGAAUGUAGCUUCGAUCUCGUAUUGAAGUGUUAUAGCCUUUGGUAGAUGUAAUGAUCGAGAUCGAGGAUUGCAACGAAUACCCUUUUGGGCUAUCCGUCUGAUCUCUGAUACGUUGCCUCGGUAACGAAAGCGUGCUUACGGUAUUGAGGUAUUACGGUCAAAAGGUUAGAACGUGAUUACAUUCGUUAAGGAUGUUGACGUAAUGGCUUUAAACGAC